CGGGGGGCAGCAGUGGGGAAUAUUGCGCAAUGGGGGAAACCCUGACGCAGCAACGCCGCGUGAGUGAGGAAGGACUUCGGUCUGUAAAGCUCUGUUAAUGUGGAAAAAUGGUAGUUGGUCUAAUAGGCCGAUUAUUUGAUGGUACACAUAGAGGAAGCACCGGCUAACUUCGUGCCAGCAGCCGCGGUAAUACGAAGGGUGCAAGCGUUGUUCGGAUUUAUUGGGCGUAAAGCGCGCGUAGGCGGACCUGUAAGUCAGAUGUGAAAUCUCGGGGCUCAACCUCGAAACUGCGUCUGAAACUGCAGGUCUAGAAUCUUGGAGGGGGAAGGGGAAUUUCGCAUGUAGGGGUAAAAUCCGUAGAUAUGCGAAGGAACACCAGAGGCGAAGGCGCCUUCCUGGACAAGUAUUGACGCUGAGGCGCGAAAGCGUGGGGAUCAAACAGGAUUAGAUACCCGAGU
rnacentral:rRNA from 1 species